rnacentral:lncRNA from 1 species
GAACAGGCUGAGAAGCCAGGUAGGUGUUCUGUUUCCUGCUUCAUCACAUCAUUGCCUGCAGGUUCCAGUUUGCCCAAGGCUUUUGUGUGGGAUGAGGGUUGUGGUUCUGAGGAGCCUCUGCCCUGUAUUUUCUCCUGGGUUGUGUUUCCACUCAAUCUUCUCUGGUGGAUUUUCUGGCUGACCAGCCCAGUUUCUGUUUCAGUGUCCCGCUGCCAACCGCCCCUGGUACCUCGUGCCUUCCAUGCUUCAGCCGUGCGACUAAGGUCUUCAGAGGAGCAGAAGCAGCAACCUCCCCCCUCUUUUUCUGAGCAGCUUUCUGAGACACAGGGGACAGAAAAACCCGAUGCAGAAUCUUCUCGCCCACCCCCCAGGUACACAGACCAGAGCGGGGAGGAGGAGGAGGACAGUGAGAGCGAGGACCAGCUGCAGCAUCGCAUCCUGACAGCAGCCCUGGAGUUUGUGCCUGCCCAUGGCUGGACAGCAGAGGCGAUUGCCCAGGGAGCCCAGGUGUGUAUGGGUGAGGAUGGGGCAGCCUGACCAGUGUCAGCAAGAAGUCAGACUGUGCAGCAAAGCACCUCCUGCCUUCCAGCCUGCUUGAAGUGCUCCCAACCAUAGGAUUGUCUGGUUUCAUUUGGUUGUUUAGUUUAUUUUGGUGGUGGUGGGGCAAUAGGGUGGAAAUGGGAUUAUUUUUUAAUUAUAAAAGGACUUGGUUCUUGGGAACUAUGUUUUUUGUGGUCAUUCUUGAUUCUUUUUUUUUUUUUUUGAGACAGAGUCUGACUAUGUACUCCAGGCUGGCCUUGAACUCAUUAUGUAGCCCAGACUGGCCUCACACUUGAGGCAAUCCUCCUGCCUCAGCCUCUCGAGUGCUGGGAUACAGGUGUGCACCACCUGCAUGCCUGGUGGGAACUGUUCUAAGACGGCCUGUUAGGCAAGAAAUAGCUGUGAUCAAAAUUACCACAUUUUGGCCAGGAGCAUUGGCACAUGCCUGUAAUCUCAGCACUUAGGAGGCUGGGGCAUGUGGAGCCCUAUGAGUUCAAGGCCAGAAUAGGCUAUAUAGUGAGUUCAAGGCCAGCCUGAACUACAUAGUGAGACCCUGUCUCAAAAAAAAAAAAAAAAAAGUACAUCAUAGAAUUAAUGAGAUAGGAUAUUUGAAAACCCCCCACACAUCAAAUCUCUCAGUAAUUCUGACAGCCUUUACUCUUGCAUUGUAACAGACUGCUAUGUAGAUGAAGCAGUGGGCUCAUGUUUAGGCCACAUGUACAGAGUCAUCUAGAUACCAUCUGAGAACACUGAGGGAAGUGGAGUCAUCUCAUCCCAAGCUUGCUACAGGGCAUGUUGGACAAUAGGCAGAUUUGCUGCUUUCUUAUUUCUUUGUCUCACUCCAAAGGUCAUGGAUGGUAACUGAAGUCAUACUAGGGGAAUAUGUAAAUGUUGACUCUACUGUAUGAAAACUGAAAUAGUACAAAGAGAUAUAGAAAGGAAUGUAAAAAUAAAUCAUCUGUGAUUACACCGGAGAUCCUACUAUCAACAUUUCAAGCUUAUUCUUUCAAUCAAAAAAAAUUCUUUGAAUAUUUAUUGACCAAGUAAUAUGCAUUGGGCACUUGUGCUAGGUACUAAAGACAUAACAGUGGUCACAACAGCUACAAUUCCUGACCUUUGUGGCACUUUCAAGAUGAGCAACAUUAAUCAGAUAUGUACUAUAUGUACUUCUAAAAUGUGGCAUGUGCUAACAAGAAAAGGUGCCGUCAGGACAUGCAAUAAAGCGACCUGACCUGGAAAGGCUGAGAAUGGAGGAAUGAGUUGUCUUUAUCUAGCUUGGGCAGGGACCCAGGGAUGGACCAAUCCAGAUAGAGAAGCGCAUUGUGUUAGGAGAACUAAAGGAAACCUUUAAACAGUGAAGGAAGAGAGACUUGAGAUGAGUAAGACUGGAGAAAAGGUCCAUGGAGGCCAGAUCUAGCAAAGGAUGAAAGGUCAGGAUGUAGGCUUUUGUUCUAAGACUAACUGAAGGUACAGUAUUGAGUUUUCAUUUCACAGCAUUGCUGAGUGAGUGGGAAUGGAUGGAGGUAGAAUCUUCGGGGGCUGCUGCAGUCAUCCAGGAGAGAUGAGGUUGUCUGGCUUAGAGUGAUAGCAGUGCAGUAGAGAUGGGGGUGAGUUUGGUGGAACACUGGACAUGGGAGGGAGUGAUAAGAUGGCACCAGAGUUGCCAGUUUACAUGUGUGGGUUCAUGGUGGUGUUGUUUUCCAAGAGUAGGCCCAGUGGAAGAGGGCCAGGUCUGGGGACACAUGAU